rnacentral:rRNA from 1 species
CAGCCGCCGCGGUAAUACAGAGGGUGCGAGCGUUAAUCGGAUUUACUGGGCGUAAAGCGUGCGUAGGCGGCUUCUUAAGUCGGAUGUGAAAUCCCUGAGCUUAACUUAGGAAUUGCAUUCGAUACUGGGAAGCUAGAGUAUGGGAGAGGAUGGUAGAAUUCCAGGUGUAGCGGUGAAAUGCGUAGAGAUCUGGAGGAAUACCGAUGGCGAAGGCAGCCAUCUGGCCUAAUACUGACGCUGAGGUACGAAAGCAUGAAGAGCAAACAGGAUUAGAUACCCCGGUAGUCCCUGUCUCUUAUAC